UAUUUUUAAAGGGCCGCGGUAUACUGACCGUGCGAAGGUAGCAUAAUCAUUAGUCUUUUAAUUGAAGGCUUGUAUGAAUGGUUGGACAAAAAGUAAUCUGUCUCAGUUAUAAUAGUUGAACUUAACUUUUAAGUGAAAAGGCUUAAAUACUUUAAGGGGACGAUAAGACCCUAUAAAACUUAACAAUAAUUUGAUUAAAUUAUAAAUUGUUAGUAUAACUUGAUUUUAAUUAAUGUUUGUUGCGUUGGGGCGACGGGAAUAUAACUAGUAACUGUUCUUAAAUAUUUUAUUAACAAGUAUAAUUGAAGAAUAAUUGAUCCUUUAUUAAAGAUUAAAAGAUUAAGUUACUUUAGGGAUAACAGCGUAAUCUUCUUUGAGAGUCCUCAUCGACAAGAAGGUUUGCGACCUCGAUGUUGAAUUAAGGUAUCCUUAUAAUGCAG
rnacentral:rRNA from 1 species